UUUUGUCCUUGGCUCUAUUGAUAUAGUGUAUUACAUUGAUUGAUUUGCGUAUAUUGAACCAUCCCUGCAUCCCUGGGAUGAAUCCCACUUGAUUAGGGUGUAUGAUCUUCUUGGUGAUCUUCUGCAUUCUGUUUGCCAGUAUCUUAUUAAGGAUUUUUGCAUCUAUGUUCAUUAGUGAGAUUGGCCUAUAGUUCUCCUUUUCAGUUGGGUCUUUCUCUGCUUUGGGGAUCAAGGUGAUGCUUGCUUCCAGGAAUGAAUUUGGGAGUAUUGCUUCCCUUUCAAUUUCAUUGAAGAGUUUAAACAGUAGUGUCAGUAGUUCCUCUCUAAAUGUCUUGUAGAAUUCAGCAGUGAAGCCAUCAGGGCCCGGGCUUUUCUUAGUUGAUAAGUUUUUAAUUACAUUUUCAAUUUCAUUCAUUGAUAUUGGGUUGUUCAGAAUUUUUAGGUCUUUUUGUUCAACUUUGGUAAUUCAUAUGUAUCUAGGAUUCUGUCCAUUUCUUCUGUGUUGUCCAUCUUAUUGGCCUAUAGGUUCUGGAAGUAGGUAUUGAUGAUCCUCUGGAUUUCUGCUGGGUCUGUUGUAAUUUCACCCUUUUCAUUCCUAAUUGCAUGGAUUUGGGCCUUUUCUUUCCUUUUUCUGACAAGGUUGGCUAAGGGUUUGUCAAUUUUGUUGAUUCUUUCAAAGAACCAACUCUUGGCUUCAUUGAUUUUUUGUAUCAUUCUCUUAGUCUCCAUUGCAUUGAUUUCUCCUCUGAUCUUCAUAAUUUCCUCCCUUUUAUGAGCCCUGGGGUUGUCCUGUUCUUCUUUUUCUAGAAGCUUGAGGUUCAGCAUCAGGUUGUUUAAUUGGGCUUGUUCUGUUUUCCUAAUAUGUGUAUUCAGUGCUAUGGAUGUCCCUCAUAAGACUGCUUUCAUUGUGUCCCAUAGAUUCCAAUAUGUUGUAUUGUCAUUGUCAUUUAAUUCAAGGAACUGUCUGAUUUCUUCUUGAAUUUCCUCUGUGACCCAUUGGUUAUUCAGAAGUGUGUUGUUCAAUUUCCAUGUGGAUAUGAAUUUUUUGAGUUUCUUUUGCUAUGGAUCUCCAAUUUCACUGCACUAUGGUCUGAUAAUAUACAGGGCAUAACUUCAACUCCUUUGCACUUACUUAAACAUGUUCUAUGUGUGAGUAUGUGGUCUAUUUUUGAGAAUGACCCAUGUGCAGCUGAGAAGAAUGUGUAUUCUGAUUUUGUGGGGUGGAAGACUCUGUAAGCAUCUGUUAAGUUCAUUUGUUCAAGAGUUCGAUUGAGUUCUAGUAUUGCAUUACUUAUUUUUUGUCUAGUUGAUCUAUCUAUUUGUUACAGUGGGGUGUUGAGCUCCCUCCACUUUGGGAGUGGCAUGGUGCCAUCCUGGAAUCCUCUCCUGUGGCAGGAGAUGUGGUAAGGUGAAUGGAACACAUUCUCUUUUUCUUGUGAGCGCUUGUGAGCCAUUUCUGAAGCAUCCUAUUAGCUGGGAGUGGUCAUACCGAGGUCCAGAAACUGUCUCCACUAUGGCAGUGGCCUGGUGCCAGCCAGGAAUCCUGCCUGGUUGCAGGAUAUGCGGUAAGGUAGACCAAACACAUUCUCUUUUUUCCUGUGAGUGAUUCUGUGCCAUUUCUGAAGCAUCUCACUAAGUAGAAGCAGCCGUAUGGCAGAACGGAUGCCACAUUGAGUAUGGGAGCAGUGUGCUGCCAUCCCAGAAUCCUCCCCCGUGGCAGGAGAUGUGGUAAGGUGGAUCGAGCACAUUCUCUUUUUUCCUGUGAGUGCUUGUGAACCAUUUCCAAACCAUCCCAUUAGAUAGGAGCUGCCAUCAGUGGCCCCAAAUCCACCUCCAUUAUUGGAGCAGUGUGGUGAUAGGCCAGAAUCCUCCCCCAUGGCAGGAAAUGUGGUAAGGUAGAUCAAAUGCAUUCUCUUUUUUCCUCUGAGUGGUUCUGAGCCACUUUGGGAGCAUCAUAUUUGCUGGGAGCAGCCAUACGGUGGCCCAAUGCCCCCCUGCACUAACAGGAGCGGCGUGGUGCCAUCCAGAAAUGUAGCCCCAUGGCAGGAGAUGUGGCAAGGUGGACUGAUCACAUUCUCUUUUUUCUUGUGUGUGGUUCUGAGACAUUUCAGAAGCAUCCCAUUAGCUGGGAGCAUCCGUACAGUGGGCCGGAAUUGGCCUCCACUAUGGGAGCAGAGUGGUGUCAGGCCAAAUUCCUCCCCCAUGGCAGGAGAUGUGUUAAGGUAGAUUGAACACAAUCUCUUUUUUCCUGUGAGCGGUUCUGAGUUACUUUGGAAGUAUCCAAUUAGCUGGUAUCUGCCAUACCCUUGCCCGGAAGCCGCCUACAGUACAGGAAUGGGGUGGUGCCAUCCCAAAAUAUUCCCCUGUGCCUGGAUAUGUGGUAAGUUAGAUCCAAUGCAAUAUCUUUUUUCCUGUGAGUGUUUCUGAGCCAUUUCAGAUGCAUCCCACUAGCUGGGAGCGGCCCUACAUUGGCCGGGCAGCCACCUCCACAAAGGGAACAGCAUGGUGCCAUCCCAAAAUAUUCCCCGUGGCAGGAGAUGUGAUAAGAUGGAUGGAACGAAUUCUCUUUUUUUCUGUGAGUGUUUCUGAGCCAUUUUGGAAGCAUCCCAUUAACUCUGAUCAUUGGUACAUUGGCCCAAAUGCUGCCUCCACUAUAGGAGUGGCAUGGUGCCAUGCCAGAAUCCUCCCUUGUCGCAGCAAAUUUGGUAAGGUAGAUCAAUCACAUUUUCUUUCUUCCUGUGAGCCAUUCUGAGUCAUUUUGGAAGCAUCCCAUUAGCUGGGCACGGUCGUACAGUGGCCCAGAAUCACCCUCCACUUCGGAAGCGGCAUGGUGCCAUCCAGAAAUAUUCCCCCAUGGCAGGAGAUGUGAUAAGGUGGAUCGAACGCAUUCUCAUUUUUCCUUUGAGUGGUUUGGAGACAGUUCAGAAGCAUCCCAUUACCUAGGAGUGCUGUAUGGUGCCACGGAAGCUGCCUCAAUUACAGGAGCAGAAUGGGGCCAACCCAGAAUUAACCACCAUGGCUUGAGAUGUCAUAUGGUAUACCAAAAGCAUUCUCUUUUUUCCUGUGAGCAGUUCCAAGUCAUUUCACAAGCAUCCCAUUAGCUGGGAGAGGCCAUACUGUGGCCUGGAAGCCACCUCCAAUAUGGGAGCAGCUUGGUGCCAUGCCAGAAUCAUCCCCCUUGGCAGGAGAUGUGGUAAUGUAGAUCAAAUGCAUUGUCUUUUUUCCUGUGAGUGGUUCUGAGCCAUUUUGGAAGCAUCCAAUUAGAUGGGAGAGGCCUUAUGUCAACCUGGAAUGUGCCUCAAUUACGGGCACAUGGUGUUGCCAGGCCAGAAUCUUCCCCCAUGGCAGAAAAUGUGGCAAGGCAUAUCAAAUGCAUUCCCUUUAUUCCCAUGAGCUGUUCUGAGCCAUUUUGAAACAUCCCUUUAGCUGGGAGCAGCCGUAUGGUGGCUCAGAAUCCACCUCCACUAUGGUAGCAGUAAGGUGCCUUGCCACAAUCCUCCUCCAUGGCAGGAGAUGUAAGGUAGAUUGAAAGCAAUCUCUUUUUUCCUGUGACUGGUUCUGAGCCAUUUUGGAAGCAUUGUAUUAUAUGGGGGCGGCCAUUUGUUGGCACAUAAGUGGCCUCCACAUCUGGAGCAGGCUGGUGCCCUCCUGAAAUAUUCCCCUGGGGCAGGAGAUGUACUAAGGUGGAUCUAAUACAUUAUCUUUUAUGCUGUGUAUGGUUCUGAGCCAUUUCAGAACCAUCCUAUUAGUUGUGAGCAUUGGUACAAUGGCCUGGAAGCCGCCUCCACUGUGGGACUGGCAUGGUGCCAGGGCAGAAUCCUCCCCUGUGGCAGAAGAUGUGGUAAAGUGGAUUGAACGGAUUCUCUUUUUUAGUGUGAGUGGGUCUGAGACAUUUUGGAUGCAUCCCAUUAGCUGGGAGCGGCCAUAUGUUGGCCUGGAAGCCCCCUCCAGUAUGGGAGCAGCAUGGUGCCAACCCAAAAUAUUCCCACAUGGCAGAAGAUGUGUUAAGGUGCAUGGAACACAUUCUCUUUUUUCCUCUGAGCAGUUCUGAGCCAUUUUGGAAGCAUCCCAUUAGCUGUGAGCAUAGGUACAGUGACCCAGAAGCCACUUCCACUAUGGGAGCAGCGUGGUGCCAGCCCAGAAUCCUCCCCGUGGCAGGAGAUAUGGUGUGGAUUGAGUACAUUCUUUUUUUCCUGUAUGUGGUUUUGAGCUACUUCAGAAGCAUCCCAUUAGCUAGGAAUGGCUGAAUGAUGGCCCAGAGGCCGCAUACAUUAUGGGAGUGGAGUGGCACCACCCCAGACUCAACCUCCAUGGCAGGAGAUAUAGUACAGUGGACAGAAAGCAUUCUCAUUUCUGAUGAGGGUUCUGGGCCAUUUCCUGGGCAUCAUAUUAGCUGUGAGCAUUGGAAUGGCAGGCCUGAUCCACCUCCAUUAUGGGAGCAGCAUAGUGCCAGCCCAGAAUCCUCCCCCGUGGCAGGAGAUGUGGUAACGUGUAUCAAAUGCAUUCUCUUUUAUCCUUUGUGGGGUUCUGAGCCAUUUUGGAAGCAUCCUGUUAGCUGUGAGCAGCCCCUCAGUGGCACGUAACCUGCCUCCAGUUUGGGAGCAGACUGGUGCCAUCCCGAAAUAUCCUGUGGCAGGAGAUGUGAUAAGGUGGAUCUAACGCAUUAUCAUUUUUCCUGUGAGUGGUUCUGAGCCAUUUCAGAAGCAUCCCAUUAGCUGUGAGCAUCGGUAAGUUGGCCCAGAAGCCGCCUCCACUAUGGGACUGGGGUGGUGCCAGGGCAGAAUCUGCCCCUGUGGGAGGAGGUGGGGUAAGCUAGAUCGAAUGCAUUCUCUUUUUCCCUGUGAGUCGUUCUGAGUCUUUUUGGAAGUAUCUAAUUAGCUGGGAGUGGGCUUAUGGCAAACUAGAAUGUGCCUCCAUUAUGGGAGCAGGGUGGUGCCAGCCCAGGAUCCUCCGCUAUGGCAGGAAAUGUGGCAAGGUAGAUCGAACCCAUUCUCUUAUUUUCUGUGAGUGGUUCUGAGCCAUUUCAGAUGCAGAUGCAUCCCAUUAGCUGGGAGUGGCUGUAUGGUGGUCUGGGAGAGGACUGCAUUACAGGAGAGGCAUGAUGCCAUCCGGAAAUAUUCCCCCAAGGAAGGAGAUGUGGGAAGGUGAAUGGAACGCAUUCUCUUUUUCCCUGUGAGUUAUUUUGAGCCAUUUCAGAAGCAACCAAUUAGCUGUGAUCAAAGGUACAGUGGCCCAGAAGCCGCCUCCACUAUGGGAGCAGCAUAGUGCCAUGCCAGAAUCCUCCUGCAUGGCAGGAAAUUUGGUAAGGUAGAUCGAAUGCAUUCUCUUUUUUCAUGUGAGUGGUUCUGAGCCAUUUUGGAAGCAUCCCAUUAGCUGGGAGCGGCUAUACGGUGGCCCAGAAUCCAUCUCCACUACGGGAGCAGCGUUUUGCCAUUCUGAAAUAUUCCCCUGUGCCAGGAGAUGUGGUAAGUUAGAUUGAAAGCAAUAUUUUUUUUCCUGUUAGUGGUUCUGAGCCAUUUCAGAAGCAUCCAAUUAGCUGGGAGUGGCCUUAUGGCAACCUGGAAUGUGCCUCCAUUACUGGAGCAUGGUUGUGGCAGCACAGAAUCCUCCUCUGUUGCAUUAAAUGUGGUAAGGUACAUGGAAUGCAUUCUCUUUUUCCCUGUGAGCAUUUCUGAGACAUUUUGGAAGAAUCCAAUUAGCUGUGAGCACCGAUACGGUGGCCUGGAAUCUGCCUCCACUAUGGGACUGGCAUGGUGCCAUGCCAGAAUCCUCCCCCAUGGCAGGAAAUGUGGUAAGGUAGAUCUAAUGCAUUCUCUUUUUUCCUGUGAGGGUUUUUGAGACAUUUUGGGAGCAUCCCAUUUGCUGGGAGUGGCCAUAUGGUCACCCAGAUGCCCCCUGCACUAAGGGAGCAGCAUGGUGCAUCCAGAAAUAUACUCCCAUUGCAGGAGAUGUGGAAAGGUGGA
rnacentral:lncRNA from 1 species